UACGAAGGGGGCUAGCGUUGCUCGGAAUUACUGGGCGUAAAGCGCACGUAGGCGGAUCUUUAAGUCAGGGGUGAAAUCCUGGAGCUCAACUCCAGAACUGCCUUUGAUACUGAGGACCUUGAGUUCGGGAGAGGUGAGUGGAACUGCGAGUGUAGAGGUGAAAUUCGUAGAUAUUCGCAAGAACACCAGUGGCGAAGGCGGCUCACUGGCCCGAUACUGACGCUGAGGUGCGAAAGCGUGGGG
rnacentral:rRNA from 1 species